CCUACGGGAGGCAGCAGUGAGGAAUAUUGCACAAUGGGCGCAAGCCUGAUGCAGCAACGCCGCGUGGGGGACGACGGCCUUCGGGUUGUAAACCUCUUUUAGCAGGGAAGAAGCGCAAGUGACGGUACCUGCAGAAAAAGCACCGGCUAACUACGUGCCAGCAGCCGCGGUAAUAC
rnacentral:rRNA from 1 species